rnacentral:rRNA from 1 species
GACGAACGCUGGCGGCGUGCUUAACACAUGCAAGUCGAACGGAAAGGCCCUGCUUGCAGGGUACUCGAGUGGCGAACGGGUGAGUAACACGUGGGUGAUCUGCCCUGCACUUCGGGAUAAGCUUGGGAAACUGGGUCUAAUACCGGAUAGGAACCAUCUUUAGUGUGGUGGUUGGAAAGUUUUUUCGGUGUAGGAUGGGCUCGCGGCCUAUCAGCUUGUUGGUGGGGUAAUGGCCUACCAAGGCGGCGACGGGUAGCCGGCCUGAGAGGGUGUACGGCCACAUUGGGACUGAGAUACGGCCCAGACUCCUACGGGAGGCAGCAGUGGGGAAUAUUGCACAAUGGGCGCAAGCCUGAUGCAGCGACGCCGCGUGGGGGAUGAAGGCCUUCGGGUUGUAAACUCCUUUCGCUAGGGACGAAGCUUUUUGUGACGGUACCUAGAUAAGAAGCACCGGCUAACUACGUG